UCGUUGGACCAAUUUUGACAUCGUCCAAAUAACCGUUCAACGAACGUCCAUCGUUGGACCCGUGUUGAACGAUUUUGAAACAAUUUUUUGGACGUCUCAGUGGGAAAAGAAACUAUCACUAGUUAUAAUUAGUUAUCCUCUAGGGAGAGAUAUGCGGAGGAAAAAAAAGGCAAACUAGCAACGGUAAAUAUCGCGAUAAAAAACUAGCAUCACUUAUUGCGAACCAAGUUUUGCGUGACUUUAUUAUCAUAACGUUUAUUUUAAAAAUAAGAAAUGAAGUGCAUUGGAAAAUUUUGUGCGAAUCGGCCUUGUAAUUACGCUCUAAUAGCUGAAAUAAGUUUUUUUUCGGUACCCGAAGGAUGCUGCAUUACGCGAUAAAUGGGUUGAAUUUUUCGAGUUCCGGCGUUCCCGUUACUGGAUUCUUUGCAGCUAUGUAGCGCAAAAAACCAUUCUUGACCCUAUCGAACAACGUAAGCAAGAAGAUAGAUUAGAUGCAUAAAAUAUACCAUGCGGUAGCUUUCGGACAAAAAAUCAUCUCUUCAGAUCAAUCAAAAGCAACACUGCCAGCAACGCAACCAUCUGGAAAAAAUCAUAUCACCGACGAUUCCGCCGGGAAUCCUACCUUUGGAUAUAGGUUGGUUACCCUAAUUGAACAGCAUUAUUCUUGUAAGGAAAGUUCAACUUACAAUAGCGCCUAUUUAUAAUUUGUUGUCUAAUGUUUAUCAACAAAAAUAAAAAAAAUAACAUUACUAUCCAAAAAUAUUGCACCAAUGCAGUCAAAUAAUGAUCGACUGGCUCAAAAUGUUGACAGUAAGCUGGCUCAAGAUGGCGUCCUCGCAUAUCUCUCCCUAGAGGAUAACUAGUUAUAAUAGUUCUUUUGAUCGGAUCGUCUCCUGCCGUAAAAAUUAUACAGAUUAGGUUUGUUCCAGUACCAGGAGAAACUGGAAGUACUCCGGAGCAAACAGGGAGAAAAUCGUUCCUGUACUAUCUUCUUCUCUUUUUUCUUCUUCUGGUGGCAAACCGGAGUGAAAAGGAGCAAGAAUUUUUUGCUCCGGAGCAACAGGGAGUAACUUCCAUGUACUGGAACAAACCUAUUGAUUACUUAAAGAACGAUGCACACUACGAUUCCGACCAGAAUAGUCGAAGGAUUUUCCGACGUACCCAACAAAGUAUCCGCGAAAUAAAUUAGCAUGGUAUAUGGCCAAACAGUUCACGAAACUUAUGGACCUGCUAACAAAAUAGUCACGAAGAAGCCGGAAGGUAAUCUGCCGAACUUUAACUCCGACAAGAAAAAGUUAGCCGUUACGAAUUUAAAAACUACGGUUUUAGUCAUUGUCAGCUGAGAUAGCAUUCCCGGUUUGGAUUGUCUGUCGGUAAAUCAAAGGGUAUUGUAUUCCCUGUUCGUCACCGGAGUAUGUUUUUGGAGUCGGCUGUACAAAACACCAAAAACUGUUUUGUGGGUACGAAAAAUCGGCUGCACGCUUUCGACAAGACAUCGGUUUCGGGUAGUGACAGUUCCAUAUUUAUCAACCAAUAGUUAAGACCAGCUGUUGAAGUUUUUGAGGCUCAGCUAGAGUCACGCACGAACUCCCCGCUAGUCCAGCCGGGUCAGUUGAACGAAAAUUAUUUCUUUUCGCAUUUUCAGUAUGUGUCGUUUGACUGCAUCCUGGGUAGGAUUCGGAAAUUUACACGGGACUAUAACAAGGAAAGAUAUGCUGGUGCUGUCAGGCGAAAUAAAGAAAAACUGCACACCAAGUUAUCCGGUUGGAUGAUCUAUGGCGGUUAACCCACCGAUUAUCACAAUUAAUAAUAUAACAGAAUCGUAUAAUUUUCAACAACAAAAAUAGUCCUCUAGAAGUAAACGUGAUAAAUAUAUUUUAUAUUAAAAUUUAA